rnacentral:rRNA from 1 species
GACGAACGCUGGCGGCGCGCUUAACACAUGCAAGUCGAGCGAGAACCAGGGCUUCGGCCCUGGGGACAGCGGCGAACGGGUGAGUAACACGUGGGUAAUCUGCCCUCGGCACCGGAAUAGCCCGGGGAAACCCGGAUUAAUGCCGGAUGGCCCCUUCACCUCGCGAGGUGUCGGGAAAAGGUAGCUUCGGCCUCUGGCCGAGGAUGAGUCCGCGGCCCAUCAGCUUGUUGGCGGGGUAACGGCCCACCAAGGCUUUGACGGGUAGCUGGUCUGAGAGGAUGACCAGCCACACUGGGACUGAGACACGGCCCAGACUCCUACGGGAGGCAGCAGUGGGGAAUAUUGGGCAAUGGGCGCAAGCCUGACCCAGCCAUGCCGCGUGAGUGAUGAAGGCCUUCGGGUCGUAAAGCUCUGUGGGAAGGGACGAAAAAAACCGACCUAACACGUCGGGGCUUGACGGUACCUUCUUAGCAAGCACCAGCUAACUCCGUGCCAGCAGCCGCCGUAAGAC